AGGAAGAAGAGUUUCUCCUUGGUCUGAGAGCACCUGAAAGGGUUGUGAGGGACCAGGUACACCUCACCUGGGUGGUCUCUUAAACUAACUAAGGAUUCCUUCUGAUCCCUGUCAAGCGGAUGAACUCAGAUGCCCAGCUUCUCCAGGAAAGAAACAGUCACUCUCAGUCCUGCCAAGAUCAGGAUGGAGGAAAGUGGAUAUGCAACAGGAUGGUAGUGAGAUAGUGACAUAUUGAGAGAGUUUUGUAGUAGGGGUGGGGGAGAUGUAGGAAUGGAGGAUAGUUCUGUGCUGUGUCCUCCUGAGGGAAAUGGAGGAAUACUUUCCGUCCUCCUCUGAACCACUGACACCAGAGCUUCUAAACUGGAGCUGACGUGAAUUCCUUCACUUCUUGGAUACAUUUGGCCAUAUCUGAAGACCGUUUUGACUAUCAUGCGUUGGAGAUCUCUAACCAGCAUCAGGUGACUAGAGAUGCUCUUUAAGCAACCUUUACAACACACAGAAGAGCAAAACAAAACAAACUGCCCAACCCCGAAUGUCAUCAGUGCUGAGAAACCUGGCCUAAGAGUGACUGCGGCUUAUGGAUUAUCACCAGCGUCAUGGAGCUACAUCAAACUGGAGUGCUCUCUAAUGUCCAUAACUUUGUAUCUCUAAGUCUCUGAAGACCCAACCCACACAUCACCGCAGUGGAUCAGAGGCAGGGAUAGGAACAAAUAAGAGAGAACAAUAAUUGGGCACCUACUAUGUGCCAGAAGUCCCAAUAGAGUAGAUACACUACAGUCCUUCACUACUAAAGGGCAAAUAUAAAACUGUCCUGGGUCCCCCCACACACACACUCCCCCUUUUCCUUUGCCAUCAACUGGUUAGACAUGCAAGUAGAGAAAUUCAAGAAUUUGGGAAGUCACUCCUAUUCGUUAAGAUAAGAGAAAUUCAACUUCAGCCGUGCAUGAAGGCUUCUGUGGUGUUCACACAGGAAUCCACAGAAGGAGAAAGAUAAUAGGGCUAGGGGAAAUGGGAGUGGCCUCAGGCCCUGAAGUUCAUCUGGCAUCCCAUCUGUCAAGUCUAACUUGACAUCCAGCCCACCAGUCUGGCUGCCAAUCAAAUCCUCCAAUCAGGCUUCUGGGAGUGAAGUCUUAACUAGGAAGGAUUCCUGUUGCUCUUGCUCUCCACAGGCUCUGAUGACCACCUCCUCCACCUGGGCUGAGGAAAGAGAAAUAGAGAGCAAGUGCUCACCCAAAGAGAAGCAUAAAGCGAUCGUUCACCGGAGAUGAAAGGCCUCACUUCCUGCCGGCGGUGGACAGGGCUGCAUCUGUUUGUCUGCAGCAACUAGAGGAGCCAGUAUCUCAGCAGAACUGGCUCAGAGCACACCCAGUGGACAAAUCUGACAAAUGUCUUUCACCAGCCUUUGUAGAACUUUGUGCAGUGCUUUCUAGAAACAAGCAGAAGCUGUGUCAAGCAUAUAAUCUCCAACUAGUGCUGCCUUCAGGGUCUUUAAGAAGAAACAUGUCCCAGGCAGCCACAGGGGACCAGGCACCAAUGAAGAGGAUUUUGUUAGGAGAACAGAACAAUUGGUCAGGGGCAGUAAUUCCCAGACCAUGGGACACUCCACCCUUCAAACCAAAACCAAUCUAUGAGUAAACUGCCAAGGACUGUCCUUUCACUCAGGAUCCAGCCUUGAAUCAAGACUCUAGUAUUGCCCUCACCCCCCCCCCCCCCCCCCCCAGCACUGCCCGUGUUCUUCACAAAGGACUGUGAGCGUGGCCCCUGUCAUCAGUUUGCUGGGAGCAUUUUCCAGGCUCUACACAGAGCUGGGCAGAGCCAAGUGUCUUCUCCCUCAUUCAUUCACUCUCUAAACCUUUACAUAACUGAAAAUACAUCAAGUAGUGGGGGCUCUAGAAAGAAAAAUAUGACAAAGCCAGGAGACAGAGUAUGGCUGUAGGGAGUCAGGAAUGUUUUUCCUUUGAGGCGCAAUUUGAUCAGAAACCCAAUGACGUGAGACUCUGCCAGACCCACAUAUAAUGAAAGUCAGGGCUAGGGAAGUAACUCGUUGCUAAAGUAUAUGUUUGGCAUGUGACAAAACUUUAUUAUCAGCCCCGUCCAAACAAAAUAAUAAACAAACAAACAAACAAAUGGUAGUUACAGGGUAGGAGAAGGCCUGGCUGAAUCUGAAGACACACACCUGUAAGCUUUAACCCCAGCACUCAGGGAGCAGAGGCAGGUGGAUUUCUGUGAAUAUGAAGCCCAUCUACUCUACAUAUUGAGUUUCAAGCCAGCCACUGUUACAGGAUUAGAUCAUAUCAAAAACAACAAAACAAAAUAAAACAAAUACCCCAAAAC
ensembl:processed_transcript Gm12299 predicted gene 12299